rnacentral:lncRNA from 1 species
UGAAAAUCUUUAAAAUAACACAUGAUGUGUUCCUGUAUGAUGAGAGUUUAAAUUCCUACCACAACCAUAUAUACAUGCUUAUUAGACUAUGAACCAUAUAUUUACUUUUUACUGCUUAUGAGCAUUGAGUGUGGUCAAGCUGUGUAGACCCUUAGGAGCUUGUCAUGCGGUUAAAAUCAAGAUCCACUUGCACGUUCACUCAUAUAUGCUACUUCUACUCCGGAAGUACGCAUCCACAUACAUCCACUCAUUUCCAUCUCCAGAUUCACCCAAAAUUAUUCUACUCCUAUCCAGGAGAGAAUAGCCAAAAACAUUAUCCUAUCCUUGUUAUUCCCCA